rnacentral:rRNA from 1 species
AGCCGCCGCGGUAAUACCGGCGGCUCGAGUGGUGGCCACUUUAUUGGGCUUAAAGCGUUCGUAGCUGGGUUAUUAAGUCCCUUGGGAAAUCCGACAGCUUAACUGUCGGGCGUCUAAGAGAUACUGGUAAUCUUGGAACCGGGAGAGGUGAGGGGUACUUCGGGGGUGGGAGUGAAAUCCUGUAAUCCUCGAGGGACCACCUGUGGCGAAGGCGCCUCACCAGAACGGCUUCGACAGUGAGGGACGAAAGCUGGGGGAGCAAACCGGAUUAGAUACCCGGGUAGUCCCAGCCGUAAACGAUGUGCGUUAGGUGUAUCGGUGACCACGAGUCACCGAGGUGCCGAAGGGAAACCGUGAAACGUACCGCCUGGGAAGUACGGUCGCAAGGCUGAACUUAAAGGAAUUGGCGGGGGAGCACCACAACGGGUGGAGCCUGCGGUUUAAUUGGACUCAACGCCGGAAAUCUCACCGGAUAAGACAGCAGAAUGAUUGCCGGGCUGAAGACUCUGCAUGACUAGCUGAGAGGAGGUGCAUGG